CCGGGCACGGGCCCCUGGGUGGUAUCUCGCGCUUAAACCAGAUGGAGGGCUGGUAGAGCAGAUCACCCCCAAAGCAAGAAGUUCCAGAUGAAAUAUGCAUAAGAAGCAGCCUCAAAACUAACAAAAAAGAUUCGCACAUUCCUCAGUUAGAGGAGGAGCAGAGAUGAAGAAAAGGAGAAGAAAAGCGCUGGAAAGAGAAGAAAAGGAACCUCCUUCUGUGCAGCAGGCUCCUGGCCCAGGGAGCGCGGUGUGCGGCAGAGUGCGUGCAGGGAAGCAGCCUCUGAAAUAGUGCAGGGAGGCACCCUGUGAAAUCGUGCAGGGAAGCACCCUGUGAAAUCGUGCAGGGAAGCACCCUGUGAAAUCGUGCAGGGAAGCACCCUGUGAAAUCGUGCAGGGAAGCACCCUGUGAAGUCGUGCAGGGAAGCACCCUGUGAAGUCGUGCAGGGAAGCAGCCUCUGAAGUCGUGCAGGGAAGCAGCCUCUGAAGUCGUGCAGGGAAGCAGCCUCUGAAGUCGUGCAGGGAAGCAGCCUCUGAAGUCGUGCAGGGAAGCAGCCUCUGAAGUCGUGCAGGGAAGCAGCCUCUGAAGUCGUGCAGGGAAGCAGCCUCUGAAGUCGUGCAGGGAAGCAGCCUCUGAAGUCGUGCAGGGAAGCAGCCUCUGAAGUCGUGCAGGGAAGCAGCCUCUGAAGUCGUGCAGGGAAGCAGCCUCUGAAGUCGUGCAGGGAAGCAGCCUCUGAAGUCGUGCAGGGAAGCACCCUGUGAAGUCGUGCAGGGAAGCACCCUGUGAAGUCGUGCAGGGAAGCACCUUCUGAAGUCGUGCAGGGAAGCACCCUGUGAAGUCGUGCAGGGAAGCACCCUGUGAAGUCGUGCAGGGAAGCACCUUCUGAAGUCGUGCAGGGAAGCACCCUGUGAAAUCGUGCAAGGAAGCACCCUGUGAAGUCGUGCAGGGGAAGCACCCUGUGAAGUCGUGCAGGGGAAGCACCCUGUGAAGUCGUGCAGGGGAAGCACCCUGUGAAGUCGUGCAGGGAAGCACCCUGUGAAAUCGUGCAGGGGAGCACCCUGUGAAGUCGUGCAGGGAAGCACCUUCUGAAAUCGUGCAGGGAAGCACCCUCUGAAAUGCCUAGAAAUAGCUGCCGGGCUUUCACUUGGUUCCCAAAUUUCUUCAAAGGUCAAAACCAUCACAGUGGGCAACUUUACACCCCAGUGUUCACUGUCCUCAGGCCACUGCAGAGCCAUCCUAGUGGGGCAGUGGGCGCGGGGCGGGGGCUCCUGACUCCGGUGAGGUCACCCUGGAGGGGAGUCCCAGGAAUCAGCCUGAUGUUCAGAAUGCCUUCCUGGCAUCUCAGAAGUGUACUGGGGGAGACAUGAGGACCUUUCAGCCAAGUGUCAGCGUUCUUAUUGCAGGAGAACAUUAAAGCCACAACCCAGAAACUUCUCAGGAGCAUGGCGCACCCACACCAGCCCCGGGCUCCGCCUGGACAGCACCUCCUGGGCCACCCUGACCAGCAGACACCAUCCUUCCAGCCUCUCUUGGCCACCCGGACCAGCGGGCACCACCCUCCCAGCCUCACGCGGCCACCCUGACCAGCAGGCACCAUCCUUCCAGCCUUGCUCAGUCACCCUGACCCAGAGGGCUGCCCUGACCAGCGGGCACCAUCCUCCCAGCCCCACUCAGCUGCCCUGACCAGCGGGCACCAUCCUCCCAGCCUCACUCGGCCAGCCGAGCUCUGUAGGCCUCAGAGUGCAGAGAACCUCAAAUGUUGUGACUUUGCUCUGCUGCAGGGACCUGCCAUGAAGUGUCCCUUGUGCGAGCAUUUUGAGAGCUAUGCCGGCAUCCGUCCCCGCAGGCCCCAUCCCUGAGCCAUUUCUCAGGAGAGCAGGAAGGGAGCAGGGAGAGGGGUGCUCCCAGCCAGCCCCGGAACCAGAGGUCUGGGGACGCAGCCGGCCAGCCCUCCUUGUCUGGGCCUCUGUUUCCUCUUCGACACAGGGAAGCAGGGAGGGGCCGAUCAGCGACUUAGGCCUGUUGGCUGUGGUGGGGUCCACCUGCGUUUCUGGGGAGCCCACGGACCCUGGGGUGUACCUGGGUUUCAUUCCCAGUGACCUCUCCUAUUGGUCCCCAUUUGGGGCGCUGAGAUGUGAUCGUUUCUUUCCUGAGAAUAAGCUGACGUAAAAACAUGCUGGGGAGGAAGAUGGGCCCUGGGGGCAGCGAGCUGCGCCUCUGCACCGGGAGAAAGGCCGUGUCCCCAGAGCUGAGGCGGUGGUGGGCAGGGCUCCUGUGAAGCCGGGGCAGGGCAGGGUGUCUCUGAGGUCAGUGAGGAACAGCUGAGGUCCAGGGACGCGGGAAGGAUGGGGUGAACUCCGGGAUGGGGCCGGCAGGGAGCCUCAUGCUUACAGACCCUGGUGUCGGCACUCUCCUGGUGUCCUCCGCAAACCUAGCCACGUGGUCAGGGAGCCCGGGCCUAGCAGACGGCCCCCACCUUGACAGAAUCCCCAGGGUCGUGCGUGGCGG
rnacentral:lncRNA from 1 species